ACGUAGGACCCAAGCGUUAUCCGGAUUGACUGGGCGUAAAGAGUUGCGUAGGUGGUUUGUUAAGCGAAUAGUGAAAUCUUGUGGCUCAACCAUGAGGCUAUUAUUCGAACUGGCAAACUCGAGAACAGGAGAGGUAUCUGGAAUUCCCAGUGUAGGAGUGAAAUCCGUAGAUAUUGGGAGGAACACCAAUGGCGUAGGCAGGAUACUGGACUGUUUCUGACACUAAGGCACGAAAGCGUGGGGAGCGAACUGGA
rnacentral:rRNA from 1 species